GACUGUGCCUGGCAUAGGGCUGCCGCGUCGCACAGCUCCAGGGGACGCCGUUCCUGUCCUGGACUAUGUGAGUGGUGCUCCCUGGAGCUGAGCAGCGCACAGCCUGCUCACACCUACAUGGCGG
rnacentral:precursor_RNA from 8 species